GCGGUUAUACAAAAUAUACAAAUAAAUUUUAUUAUUUUGUAGUUAAAUUGUUUAAAUUAAUAUAAAUUAAUAUAAAUAAGGUGAAAUUUAUUAUAUUUAAAAUGUUAUUUAAAAAUUUAUUGAAGCUAUAAAAUUUUAUUAAUAAACUAGGAUUAGAUACCCUAUUAUUUAAAAUAUAAAUUAGUUAAGAUUAGGUAGUAAUAGAUAAGAUCUUGAAACUUAAAAAAUUUGGCGGUAUUUUAAUCUAUUUAGAGGAACCUGUUCCAUAAUUGAUAAUCCACGAUAAAUUUUACAUAAUUUAAUUUAGUUUGUAUAUCGUCGUUAUAAGAAUAUUUUAUAAGAAGGUAAAUUUUCUAAAAUUUUAAUUUGAAUUUAUUUCAGAUCAAGGUGCAGCUUAUAAUUAUGAGGAAAUGGGUUACAAUAAAUUUAUUUAUACGGAUAAUAAGUUGAAAUAAUUAUUAGAAGGUGGAUUUAAAAGUAAAAUAAUAUAUAUUUUUUAUUUGACUAUAGUUCUAAAAUAUGCACAUAUCGCCCGUCGCUCUCUUUAUUUGUUUAAAAGAGAUAAGUCGUAACAAAGUAGGUGUACUGGAAAGUGUACCUAGAAUGAU
rnacentral:rRNA from 1 species